CUGCAGACAGUUAUCCCUCUCUGAGCUGCCGUGCUCCUGGAGGGAGUCGCUCUGCUACAGAAACUCUCAGUUGGAGCUUCUUCCAGCACUGGUGUCAUGAAGCCCACCUGAGGACAU
rnacentral:snoRNA from 1 species